CGCGCGUGCGCGCGGGGAGGCCGGGGCGGGGAUGGCGGAUGGGCACCGAGGAGCCGGGGGAGCCUUCCAAAAUCCUAGGCACAUGGGAAAUUUGUCUAAUGGAAAUGAAGGGAGAAGGAGUUCUUCCAAAAUAGGUCUUGCCCACUCCUCCUCAGGACAGAGCAAGUGACGUGGCCACACCUAAUGUCAGAGCGCACAAUGUCGUUACUGCUGCAGAAGGAGAGAAGGGGUUAUGUGGAGAGAUGUGACAUCCGCCCCCCCCCCCCGCGCCCAGGAGGUCUCGCCUGUGCAAGCAGCUCAUCCUGCUUUUUUUUAAAACAACUUUGUUGAAGUAUAACUGACAUUUAAAGCACACGCUUUGAUAAUUUUCUGGUAUCUGUGUACACCUGUGGUCACUACUCCUGGGAUGUCACUGCUUCCAGGCCUUUAAGGUGGACAGAAGCAUUUUUUCUUUUUAUGAUUCUAUUUUACCUGCUGUUUGCUUAUUAGGAAUAACUGCUCGUGAGGUUAUUUGAGUGGUUGUUUUAGGGUUUAUAAUAGGGUCUUCACCUCAUCACUGUCUGCCUUCCAUUCCUAGCAGCUCACCACCGUUCUCCCCACCCAUGGUGCUGUGGAUCUUCUGCCCCCAUAUUUCUCAUAUGCCCCAUAUAUGCUGUUAUUAUUUUUGCUUUAAGCAGGCAAUUUCCUCUGUUUUUAAAAUUGUGGUAAAAUACACAUAAAACUGACCAUCUCAACUGUCUGACUUGAAGAGUACAGUUCAGAGGCAUUCAGUCCCUUGGUAUCCGUGGGGGAUUGGUCCCAGCAGCCCCUGCAGAUACCAAAAUCCAUGGAUGCUCAAGUCCCUUAGAUAGGAUGGUAUGGUGCAGUUGGCCCUCUGUUUCCGUAGUUCCACAGCCACAGAUUCAACCAACCACAGAGAGAAAUUUCAAUCCACGGUUGGCUGAAUCUGUGGAUGCGAAACCCAUGAAUAUGGAGAGUCCACUGUGUAUUUAUGGGAAAAAAUCCAUGUAUAAGUAGACCCACGCAGUUGAAACCUGCACUGUUCAUGGGUCACCUGUGUUCACAUCGUACAACCAUCACCACCCUCCUUCCACAGAACUCUUUCCAUCUUGCGGAAAUGUAACUCUGCACCCUCCACCCCCAUUCCCCUCACCCCCUGCCCCCUACAACCACCAUUCCAUUUCUCGGUCUAUAAGUUUGACUGCUCUGGGGACCUCAUGUGGAUGCAAUCACACGGUUGUCCUUGGUGACUGGCUAAUUUCAGGGAGCAUCAAGUCCUUCAGAUUCAGCCGUGUUGUAGCACGUGUCAGAAUCUCCUUCCUGUAUAUUCCACUGUAGGUUUUUACCACAUUUUCCAGCAAAUUCCCUUUUCAAUAGGUUUAAACAAUAAGACCCAACAUCUCAUAUUGAGCCCAUAGGUAGCAUAUCUAGGACUCCUCAGCCCUCGGUGUGAAUGCACAUCUCCACUUGCCGUCAUUUCCCUUUUGCCUGAAGGACUUCCCUCAGCGGAUCUUGAAGCACAGGUCUGUGGGUGAUGAAUUCUUUCAGCUUUUGUAUAUCUAAAAAAAUCUUUUUUUAUCUCUGUUUUUGAAUGAUAUUUUUGCUAAGUUUCGAUUUCUAAAUUAAUGUGUGUU